rnacentral:rRNA from 1 species
CCUACGGGUGGCAGCAGUGGGGGAUAUUGCACAAUGGGGGAAACCCUGAUGCAGCGACGCCGCGUGUGGGAAGACGGUCCUCUGGAUUGUAAACCACUGUCCCCAGGGACGAAGAUGACGGUACCUGGGGAGGAAGCUCCGGCUAACUACGUGCCAGCAGCCGCGGUAAUACGUAGGGAGCGAGCGUUGUCCGGAAUUACUGGGUGAAAAGGGAGCGUAGGCGGGACUGCAAGUUGGGUGUCAAAUCUACCGGUUCAACCGGUAGCCGCACUCAAAACUGCAGUUCUUGAGUGAAGUAGAGGCAGGCGGAAUUCCUGGUGUAGUGGUGAAAUGCGUAGAUAUUAGGAGGAACACCAGUGGCGAAGGCGGCCUGCUGGGCUUUUACUGACGCUGAGGCUCGAAAGUGUGGGGAGCAAACAGGAUUAGAUACCCUAGUAGUC